GUUAAAUUUGCAAAAAAAAAAAAAAAAGAAAAAAAAAAAAAUGGCUCAUACUUACUUUAUUUCGCUCCAACAACGAAUUGCUCAUCCUUCACUGCUUCUCCUUCACCGCUCCUCCUUCUCCUUCGCCGCUUCGCACUCCAUUCAUUGUUGUUUUGGUUUGCUCGGAUUUGGGAUCAGCUUCAGUGGAUUUUAAAGGUUUUGAGGCACUUCUAGAUCAAGGAGCAUAAAUAUGGCCAUUCAACAAAGUCAAGAGAAAACUUCCUCAAGCCAAGAUGUUGCUUUGCGAGCCACAUCAUCUAAGAAGAAUAGGUGGCCAUCAAAGGCAAAACAAUCAAGUAAGCCUAUGGUGCUUGAAUUUAAUGAUUUUGACUUGCCUACUGGUGAAUGGGAACCCGCUUAUGGAAAACAAAUUGGUGCAAGUGCUAAGAGAUUAGACAUCACUGUGAAUGAGUAAGCAAAAAUAGAUAAAGUGGAUCGGGUAAAUAUAUGGGAGGAGACAAAGCGAAUGUUCCACAUUGAGGAUCCAAGUGGAGAAAGGCAAAAAAGGUUUCAUAGUGUUGUGGCUUCGUGAUUCCGCUAUCACAAGUCAAAUUUAAGGACACGAUUCAUCACUUUUAAAAACCCAUACCCGGCCACUUCUCCUAAAGCAAAUAUGAAGCCAUGGGAAGUGUAUGAAGGUUACUUUACAAAGGAGAAAUGGAAGAGAUUCUAAAUAACUAGUAAAUCAGAAGAAUUCAAGGUAACUACACAUUCACAUGCACUGUUAAUUAAUCAAACAAAAACUAAUUGUGAAGAAUAUGACAAUGUUUAACUCUCUUUUCUUUCUUUUUUUUAAAAAAAAAAAGGAAAAAAGUGAAAAGGGGAAGGAAAAUGCAAAGCUAAACAAAUGUCGCCAUCACUUGGGUCUAAACAGUUUUCAAAGAGCUCGGAUAAUUUUGAAUAAGCAAAAGAGACUUGAAAAUAGAUUUCCUGCUCUGGCUGACAACACUUCCCAGAGCAGUACAUCAACUGAUUCUGUUGAGUAAUUAGGUUUUGAUGAUUGUAAACUAAUGAUGAUUAUCUAUCUAAUGUGUUUGAUAAGUUGUGCAUAGAAAGAACAAGUUAU